AGCAACAGCCUUCUAAGCUGUGGGCCGGGAGUUCGAGUCUCUCUUGGAUCACCA
rnacentral:tRNA from 1 species